rnacentral:rRNA from 1 species
UGCCAGCCACCGCGGUCACACAAGAAACCCAAAUUAAUCGUAUACGGCGUAAAGAGUGGUACUAUACUAUCAAGGAAACUAAGAUCAAAAUGCAACUGAGCAGUCAUAAGCCCAAGAUGUACCUAAGACCACCCUUAAGACGAUCUCAGCACCCCUGAUCAAUUAAACCCCACGAAAGCUAAGGCCCAAACUGGGAUUAGAUACCCCACUAUGCUUAGCCCUAAAUCCUGAUGUUUACCCUACCAAAACAUCCGCCCGAGAACUACGAGCACAAACGCUUAAAACUCUAAGGACUUGGCGGUGCCCCAAACCCACCUAGAGGAGCCUGUUCUAUAAUCGAUAACCCACGAUACACCCGACCACUUCUUGCUAAGGCAGCCUACAUACCGCCGUCGCCAGCUCACCUUGCUUGAAGGUACAACAGUGAGCACAAUAGCAAUCCGCUAGCAAGACAGGUCAAGGUAUAGCCUAUGGAGUGGAAGAAAUGGGCUACAUUUUCUAGUAUAGAAAAACGGAAGAGGGUGUGAAACCUCCCUCAGAAGGCGGAUUUAGCAGUAAAGUGAGACAAUAAAGCCCACUUUAAAUUGGCCCUAGGGCACGUACAUACCGCCCGUCACCCUCCUCGCAAGCUAUAACCCCCAAUAACUCAAUAUGUCGCCCAAGCUAAAGAUGCGGGUAAGUCGUAACAAGGUAAGUGUACCGGAAGGUGCACUUAGCAUAU